GGUGUUUCGAAGGCCAAGAACACUGUGCUGACUCUUAAUCAGCAGGUUACAGGUUCGAUUCCUGUGCGGCUCA
rnacentral:tRNA from 1 species